CACAGUUUGGUUCAUUUCUGUGCAUGUGUUGCUCGUUUCCCUAGUGGGCCAUUGCACUGUACCUGAUCAGAGAUGGAGCAGAGAUCGGAUCAUAGGAAGACAGCCUAUUUUCACUUCUGCUCCCAUGAAUGGAAAUGCUGAUGAUUGUUAACGGUUCUCAUUGCAGGUGUGCUUUGCUCCCAGCCUGUGUCUGCGCAGUCUGCAGGGUCACUCUGCUACAGGGGGUUCACAGCAGAGAUCUGGGAGGUGGUAGUGUGCUUCCAGUCGACAGCCAAAUCUGGCAGGUUCUCCAGAAGGCUGGACGUCAGUGGUCUGCGAUGAGAUGUAGUUCUCAAUGCCAGCUUCCGUCCUUCGUUGCUGCAAGGUGCCCCAAGGAUGGCAGGUAUUUCAGGGCUGCCUCAGUGACACCAGCAAACGAGGGAACAGCCAGAGCAGAAGCCCGCUGCGAUGCUGCAUAGUCACAGUGACUCAAGUCAAG
rnacentral:lncRNA from 1 species